rnacentral:tRNA from 1 species
GAGGUUGUAGCUCAGUCGGUAGAGCAACUGACUUUUAAUCCGUAGGUCCUGGGUUCAAGUCCCAGCAACCUCA